CAACAGAUGAUGCAGGGGCCUGGGAUGAGAGCAGUAGGGUGACAAUUUUUCGGGACUCCCGCGGGUCACGGUAUUCCCGCGGGGUUCCCGCAGUACGGGAGUAAAUUUCACUGUUGGUAACGUGACUGGGACGGGACAGGAAAUAAUAAACGGGAGCU